UGUGUUGUUGGGUAGGGGAGCGUUCUGUAAGCCUGUGAAGGUGUGUCGUGAGGCAUGCUGGAGGUAUCAGAAGUGCGAAUGCUGACAUAAGUAACGAUAAAGCGGGUGAAAAGCCCGCUCGCCGGAAGACCAAGGGUUCCUGUCCAACGUUAAUCGGGGCAGGGUGAGUCGACCCCUAAGGCGAGGCCGAAAGGCGUAGUCGAUGGGAAACGGGUUAAUAUUCCCGUACUUGGUGUUACUGCGAAGGGGGGACGGAGAAGGCUAUGUUGGCCGGGCGACGGUUGUCCCGGUUUAAGCGUGUAGGUGUGUGUUCCAGGUAAAUCCGGUU
rnacentral:rRNA from 1 species